rnacentral:rRNA from 1 species
CAGGCUUAACACAUGCAAGUCGAGGGGCAGCAUGGUCUUAGCUUGCUAAGGCCGAUGGCGACCGGCGCACGGGUGAGUAACGCGUAUCCAACCUGCCUUACACUCUUGGACAGCCUUCUGAAAGGGAGAUUAAUACAAGAUGUUAUCAUGAGUAAGCAUUUUCGCAUGAUUAAAGGUUUACCGGUGUAAGAUGGGGAUGCGUUCCAUUAGAUAGUAGGCGGGGUAACGGCCCACCUAGUCUUCGAUGGAUAGGGGUUCUGAGAGGAAGGUCCCCCACAUUGGAACUGAGACACGGUCCAAACUCCUACGGGAGGCAGCAGUGAGGAAUAUUGGUCAAUGGACGAGAGUCUGAACCAGCCAAGUAGCGUGAAGGAUGAAGGUUCUAUGGAUUGUAAACUUCUUUUAUACGGGAAUAAACGGAUCCACGUGUGGAUUUUUGCAUGUACCGUAUGAAUAAGGAUCGGCUAACUCCGUGCCAGCAGCCGCGGUAAUACGGAGGAUCCGAGCGUUAUCCGGAUUUAUUGGGUUUAAAGGGAGCGUAGAUGGGUUGUUAAGUCAGUUGUGAGAGUUUGCGGCUCAACCGUAAAAUUGCAAUUGAUACUGGCAGUCUUGAGUACAGUUGAGGUAGGCGGAAUUCGUGGUGUAGCGGUGAAAUGCUUAGAUAUCACGAAGAACUCCGAUUGCGAAGGCAGCUUACUAACCUGUAACUGACAUUGAUGCUCGAAAGUGUGGGUAUCAAACAGGAUUAGAUACCCUGGUAGUCCACACGGUAAACGAUGAAUACUCGCUGUAGGCGAUAUACAGUCUGCGGCCAAGCGAAAGCAUUAAGUAUUCCACCUGGGGAGUACGCCGGCAACGGUGAAACUCAAAGGAAUUGACGGGGGCCCGCACAAGCGGAGGAACAUGUGGUUUAAUUCGAUGAUACGCGAGGAACCUUACCCGGGCUUAAAUUGCAACCGAAUAUGGCGGAAACGCUAUAGCUAGCAAUAGCGGUUGUGAAGGUGCUGCAUGGUUGUCGUCAGCUCGUGCCGUGAGGUGUCGGCUUAAGUGCCAUAACGAGCGCAACCCUUGCCGAUAGUUACUAACAGGUUAUGCUGAGGACUCUGUCGGGACUGCCAUCGUAAGAUGUGAGGAAGGUGGGGAUGACGUCAAAUCAGCACGGCCCUUACGUCCGGGGCUACACACGUGUUACAAUGGGGGGUACAGAGGGCUGCUACCACGCAAGUGGAUGCCAAUCCCAAAAACCUCUCUCAGUUCGGAUUGAAGUCUGCAACCCGACUUCAUGAAGCUGGAUUCGCUAGUAAUCGCGCAUCAGCCACGGCGCGGUGAAUACGUUCCCGGGCCUUGUACACACCGCCCGUCAAGCCAUGGGAGCCGGGGGUACCUGAAGUGCGUAACCGCAAGGAGCGCCCUAGGGUAAAACUGGUGACUGGGGC